GUAAUGUAUAGCUAGGAAUAAUC
rnacentral:piRNA from 1 species